UUGGAGGGCAAGUCUGGUGCCAGCAGCCGCGGUAAUUCCAGCUCCAAUAGCGUAUAUUAAAGUUGUUGCAGUUAAAAAGCUCGUAGUUGAAUUUCGGGGUUAGUAGGUUGGUCAUGCCACUGGUAUGUACUGGUCUCACUGAUUCCUCCUUCCUGAUGAGCCGUAAUGCCAUUAAUUUGGUGUUGCGAGGAAUCUGGACUGUUACUUUGAAAAAAUUAGAGUGUUUAAAGCAAGCUAACGCUUGAAUACAUUAGCAUGGAAUAAUGAAAUAGGACGUUCGAUCCUAUUUUGUUGGUUUCUAGGAUUGACGUGAUGAUUAAUAGGGAUAGUUGGGGGCAUUAGUAUUCAAUUGUCAGAGGUGAAAUUCUUGGAUUUAUUGAAGACUAACUACUGCGAAAGCAUUUGCCAAGGAUGUUUUCAUUAAUCAAGAACGAAAGUUAGGGGAUCGAAGACGAUCAGAUACCGUCGUAGUCUUAACCAUAAACUAUGCCGACCAGGGAUCGGAUGAUGUUAUUUUUAAUGACUCAUUCGGCGCCUUACGGGAAACCAAAGUGUUUGGGUUC
rnacentral:rRNA from 1 species